AGCUUUGGGUCCGCUGUGGUAUAACACGGGAGGGGCCGGGGGUGAUGUCAUUGGCAGCCAAUCAGAAGCUUGGAAGAGCCGGCCCGAGCCGGAGAGGAGCAGCUGCUCUGUAUUUACAUGUCAACUGACCCAGCGGGCAUGUGCUUAACCCGUUCCUGGGCUGGGUUGUCAAUGGGACGCUCGCUCCCGCCUUCCCCUCUCCCCCUUCUGUCCCCUGUCCUCGCUCACUCCCCCGUCUCUGGAGUCCUUCUCCCCGCCCCCCUCCACACCAGCUCGCCGUCUGUGAAUGAAACCCUCCCGCAGCAGCUUUCUUCAACCGAACCCCCCGCGCCGAGCCGCUCCGGCCUCAGACGUGCAGCCCCGGGCACCGCGAGAAGGGGGCAGGGAGCACAGUGACCUUGGGUAUUAACCAGGACACCGAGUGUUAAAAGGAUAAUAAGGAUUGAAGCGAUCACGGAGUGCAGCCGUGCUGCCUGCUACUGUAGCAGCCUUCGAGCAGAGGUUCAGAACGGUAAACUAGCGAGCCCGGGAAGAGACUGUAACAUAAGGAGAGAGGACUUCCCAUUUAAUACAUCUUUGUAAAAUGCUGUCAAAUAGCAUCUUAUUUCAAACCUUGUCUUUGUCAAUUACUUUUAAAAAGCUAUGAUUUCAUGUGCCUUGCUUUUGCCAGUUUUCCUCUCGUUGGUUAUAUAAGUCCCAUUAUUGAUAUGGAGUUUGAUACAGACAUGAUGGGACUGUCACAGCUGUUGUGAUUUUGAGUCAGUCUGAUCCAAAACUAUUUUACAAACAUUACACAUAUAUAAGGAAUCACUUCACCUAGCACUGGAAAGCAACCACUGCUAAAGCAAAAGCAUGGUAAAUGUUUAACAGCACUCAGCAACACUACACAAUAGUUUUAGAUGCUGUUUCUAAUUGAAGAUACAGGAGGGAUUCAGGUAGCUAGAACGUAAUUAGCAGGACUGGAAUUUGACUAGGACACGAGAGAGAAUUCCCCAUAGCAGAGAAUUCUGGCAUUGAGAGCAUCAGCAAUGUUUGCAACACACCCCAUUGCCUCACACACAAAAUAUUUGCCACAGCAUAUAAACAGAACUAGGCAGCACUAGACACUUUGGUGCCAGAGGCCAGUGUCAGCCAGCUGUGUGGGAAUGCUUAAAGGAGCAUCUGGGCAGGAGCUACUCCUAAAAAUUAGGUGCCUUAAAGACUGCCUAUGUAGACUAAGCAACUAAUGUCAGCCCCACCAGCAUCUCUCCAAUUGCACUUGCUGUGAGUGAACUUAUUUAGGAAACAUUAAACCCCAUAAUUCAAUCACCAGUGCAGCUCCACCCAUGGAAGUUAUAGUUUAGACAAGACUCAGGCACCUUUUAUCAUAUGUCAUCUUACUCUACACUAAGUAGUUUUAGGCAACAGAGUGGUGAAAAUGCCUAAAUUAUCUUUGAAAUACAGUCACCACUACUGCUUCCACCAUUGGAGCUAAUUGGUGGGGAAUAAGUCUGAAUUUUCCUGCUUUGAAUAUAGCCAACAAAUAAAGUACAUGCUUAUAAA